rnacentral:rRNA from 1 species
GACGAACGCUGGCGGCGUGCCUAAUACAUGCAAGUGGGACGCAAGGAAACACACUGUGCUUGCACACCGUGUUUUCUUGAGUCGCGAACGGGUGAGUAACGCGUAGGUAACCUGCCUAUUAGCGGGGGAUAACUAUUGGAAACGAUAGCUAAUACCGCAUAAUAUUAAUUAUUGCAUGAUAAUUGAUUGAAAGAUGCAAGCGCAUCACUAGUAGAUGGACCUGCGUUGUAUUAGCUAGUUGGUAAGGUAAGAGCUUACCAAGGCGACGAUACAUAGCCGACCUGAGAGGGUGAUCGGCCACACUGGGACUGAGACACGGCCCAGACUCCUACGGGAGGCAGCAGUAGGGAAUCUUAGGCAAUGGACGAAAGUCUGACCGAGCAACGCCGCGUGAGUGAAGAAGGUUUUCGGAUCGUAAAGCUCUGUUGUAAGUCAAGAACGUGUGUGAGAGUGGAAAGUUCACACAGUGACGGUAGCUUACCAGAAAGGGACGGCUAACUACGUG